AACAAUGGUAAAUCCUUCUGGCUUUUAAUGUAACAGAGUGAUGUAGAAGGAUGUAAAACUAAGGUAUAUGAUGUUAAGAGUGAUAAUGGUAAAUGCAAUUUCGUAAGAUGUAAAAGAGUGGCAUAUUACUUAAUUACGUAUGCAUGAGAUCUAAAACUAAGAUACAUAGAUGAAAGCUAGCAUGUCUAAGAGCUUGUUUGGAUAAUUAAGAAUCUAACCCUUCUCUUCUUCUCCUCCUCCUUUUCCUGUGACUGGCCACGAGUUACAAGCCUUCUCUUUGUUCAGCUCUGAGGGCUAAAUAAAAGUAUGGUGACCAAUAUAUAAUUUUUCUCUUUGAUGAAAAAUGGUGUCCAUAUAGUUAAGUUGCAUAUAUAUUAUUUGGGAACACAUAAAAGUGG
rnacentral:lncRNA from 1 species